GAGUCACGCUGGGCCAAAAUAAAACUAGGCAGUACAAGAGAGCCCAGAACUUUCAUUAGAUUGGCUGCUUGGGCCUACCCCAUUCUGAGCCUAAGAAAAUAAUAAUAAUAAUGUUUCCAAUCCUUCAUUACCGUCAGAAAUCUGCAUGAGAGCAACAUGGUGUCCCGUCCCGUGUGCUACGAAUGGCAAUACGCAGCUCUCGUUCCUCUCUCAAAUUUUUCUUCAUUUAUGCCUAGCUCCCAGCAAUUCUUUUCUCUCAGAAUUUCGUUGCCGUGAUUUUAGUAUGUGUGUAAUGUGUCUUAGACUUGAAUGAUGGUGCUCACUUUUGCUGGUUCAUGGACUGAAAAAUUGUGCUUCGAACGUCAACCGCUUGUAGUAAUGCCCCAAUGAAGCUAAUUUGACAGCACUUGUCACCGGUGGUUUUUAGGAAGUAUAAGGUCGUGUUUGGAUUGCAUUUUCCAUAUUUUUGGUUUAUAGGUGGAGGAACAAGUGCUAAUGCGCAAAUUCUACGAAUUGUGGUCGGCUCAAGGUCCGAGUCAUAAGAACGCAGAGGGAAAUUUUGUGCAGAGUGACAAGGAGAAUGGCCUUGCCAAAAAGCAUCAAUGAGUGUGACCGCUGGCAAACAGGAAUUUAGAUUUCAACUCUCUGAUUGGUUAGCUAAACGUGUCUGUAAAUGUAGUACAUUGAUUAUCUUGAAUUAAUAUGCAAUUCACCUCGCCAUCUUAAUUCGAGCUUCUUUGUAACUCAACUAUAUUGAUGCUUCCGGGGUUUUUUUUUUUCAAAUGCUUCCGUGACUGUCAAAGUUCAAUUUAUGGUAUCUGUUUAUUGGAUACAAAAUGGAAACAAGUGUUGAGGAUGAUGUGCAUGUUCGACAAAGUUGGCUGAUCUGAAGCUAUAAUAUACGAGUCUUUGCUGCUUGCAUGCGCGGCGAUGAUAUAUUAAUCUGGCGGCAAAAUUCUCAAUACCGCAGUGGUUCUUCUUCCCACAAGUCAGUUAAACUGUUCAAAUGAUCUCUGAUCCUCCUGCCAUGAAAGGUCCUAGAAUGAAGUUUCUAUGAUGAAAUAUCGUAGAUUGAAGUUGAUAACUUUCCUGUAAAUUGCAAAUUGUAACACACAAGACUGAAAGAGCAGAUUGCGUUCCUAGUGAAAAUUUUUGUUCUCCUAGGAGUUUCUAG